rnacentral:tRNA from 2 species
GUGAGCGUAGCUCAAUGGUUAGAGCACUGGACUGUGGCUCCAGCGGUUGUGGGUUCGAGUCCCAUCGCUCACCCCA